UUUAGUUUUCAAAUAAGAUAACUAGAUUGAUUAAAAUGAAUUAAAUUUUAAAAGUUCAAAAGGCACAAGGACUCAGAGCAGAUUUAAACAAAAAAAAAUGAAAAUGCUAGGAAAGCCCACAACUAUGUUUUUUGACUACCAGGUGAAUAUCAUGUCUUAAAAGAUCCCUCCAUUUUCUUGGUUCUGCACAAAGAAACUAAGAAAGAAAAAGAAAUAGAAAAGAUUAAAAAAGAGAAGCUAAGGAACAAUGAUGAUUAAUGUUCAUUAUUAAUAAUAAUAUUAUUAUUAUGGGUUCAGCUUCUCUCCAUUAAAGGAAGUUUCACUUUCCACCAAUGGAUUAUGGAGAAUUUUCCAUUUACAGCAGAAGAGAGAAAUUAAAAGGUCCCAAUUACGAUCUAAUCAUUCCCGCACGCCCCUUCUUUUUGGUGUUUGUCACCUUUUGCCCCCAUCCCACGUGAACCCCCCCCCCCCCUCUUCUUCUUCUUCUCCAUAUUCCCUUCUUUUCUUUUCUGCAUUAUUGACUUCCAUCACAGGCUGAAGAUCAUGGUAUUGGGUACUAGUUUUUAACUUCUUACAUAAUUCCCAUCUUACAAAAAUCUUGGAGCUUCAUUUUAGUUCCAUUGUUCAGGAGAAUACCAAUGAAGACUUGGAGCUUGUUCAUCUGAAAAGAAAUUACAAGCUUCAUCUGCAGUGAAGAAAUUAUGUUCUUCCAUCUU
rnacentral:lncRNA from 1 species